AAAAAGUUUGAUUUUUGCUUGAAAAUUGGGUUAAAUUAGAUUUUACAUGAAAAUUUUAGUGGGAACCAUGCUGUUUUUGACAAUUAUGCAUUUAUUUCUUCAGUAAGAAAAUUUAAAUAUUAGUGAAAGCUAGAUUUAGGAAUAAUUUAGAAUAUUAACAUAAUUUGUGCCAGCAGUUGCGGUUACACAGAUAAUAUGCCUUAAUUUUUUUUGGAUUCAGUUAGUUGAAAUGUAUAUUUAUAUAGUUAAGCUUUUUAAGUGAAAUUUUUAAGCUUAUAAAAUAAGUAGAUUUAUAAUUCUGAGAAAUUCAGUCUUAAACUAGGAUUAGAUACCCUAUUAUUAUGAACGUAAAGUUUAGGGUCCAGAUUAGUAUUAGUUAUUUUCUUGAAAAUUAAAAAUUUUGGCGGUAUUUUAGUCUAUUCAGAGGAACCUGUCCCGUAAUCGAUAGUCCACGAUAAAAAGAACUUUUUCUUUAAGUUUAUAUAUCGUCGUAGAUUGAAUAUUUUUUAAGAAUUUUAAUGUUCAAGAUUUUUAUUUAAAGGAAAUCAGAUCAAGGUGUAGCUUAUGGAAAAGGGGUGAUGGGUUACAUUUCUAAAAUUUUAAAGGAUUAUUUUUUGAAAGUAAGUAUGAAUUUGGAUUUGAAAGUAAUUUUAAUUAUUUUAUUAGGAUGAUUUUAGCUCUAAGAUAUGCACAUAUCGCCCGUCGCUUUCACUUUAAAGUGAAAUAAGUCGUAACAAAGUAGGCUUACUGGAAAGUGAGCCUAGAAAGAG
rnacentral:ncRNA from 1 species